AUUGAACGCUGGCGGCAGGCCUAACACAUGCAAGUCGAACGAGUGGCGGACGGGUGUGUAAUGUCUGGGACACUGCCUGAUGGAGGGGGAUAACUACUGGAAACGGUAGCUAAUACCGCAUAGCAUCAGCUGUGCCCAGAUGGGAUUAGCUAGUUGGUGGGGUAACGGCGCACCAAGGCGACGAUCCCUAGCUGGUCUGAGAGGAUGACCAGCCAAAAUGGAACUGAGACACGGUCCAGACUCCUACGGGAGGCAGCAGUGGGGAAUAUUGGACAAUGGGCGCAAGCCUGAUACAGCCAUGACGCGUGUAUGAAGAAGGCGUUCGGGUUGUAAAGUACUUUCAGCGGGGAGGCGUUACCCGCAGAAGAAGCACCGGCUAACUCCGUGCCAGCAGCCGCGGUAAUAC
rnacentral:rRNA from 1 species